rnacentral:rRNA from 1 species
UACGUAGGGUGCGAGCGUUUAAUCGGAAUUACUGGGCGUAAAGCGUGCGCAGGCGGUUCGUUGUGUCGGCGGUGAAAUCCCCCGGGCUCAACCUGGGAAUGGCCGUUGAAACUGGCGAACUGGAGUGUGGCAGAGGGGGGUGGAAUUCCGCGUGUAGCAGUGAAAUGCGUAGAGAUGCGGAGGAACACCGAUGGCGAAGGCAGCCCCCUGGGCCAAUACUGACGCUCAUGCACGAAAGCGUGGGGAGCAAACAGG